AUUGAACGCUGGCGGCAGGCCUAACACAUGCAAGUCGAGCGGAUGAAGGGAGCUUGCUCCUGGAUUCAGCGGCGGACGGGUGAGUAAUGCCUAGGAAUCUGCCUGGUAGUGGGGGAUAACGUCCGGAAACGGGCGCUAAUACCGCAUACGUCCUGAGGGAGAAAGUGGGGGAGCUUCGGACCUCACGCUAUCAGAUGAGCCUAGGUCGGAUUAGCUAGUUGGUGGGGUAAAGGCCUACCAAGUCGAGGAUCCGUAACUGGUCUGAGAGGAUGAUCAGUCACACUGGAACUGGGACACGGUCCAUGCUCCUACGGGAGGCAGCAGUGGGGAAUAUUGGACAGUAGGCGAAAGCCUGAUCCAGCCAUGCCGCGUGUGUGAAGAAGGUCUUCGGAUUGUAAAGCACUUUAAGUUGGGAGGAAGGGCAGUAAGUUAAUACCUUGCUGUUUUGACGUUACCAACAGAAUAAGCACCGGCUAACUUCGUG
rnacentral:rRNA from 1 species